rnacentral:lncRNA from 1 species
ACAAACGUAUGCCUCCAAGUCCCUUGGGGUGGUGUUGCGGGUCCAUAUGGUGGCUGUACAGACAGUGGGUUGCAGCACAGCUGAAGAACUGACCUGGCAUCUUUUCAGCAAGCAGUGAACACACGAGUCCCCCUACUCCAGGGAUGGGCAGUUGCAUGGCAGUCAUGCUCAGGUGCCCUGAUCUACUUAGUGGCCUAUGUGAAUAGUUACAGGACCUGCUCACUGUUACAGGAUGAUAAGCCUUGAAGUUUGGCACACUUAGCAAGGACUGACAGGAACACUCAGCACCCAUGGCAGACUACCUUUCCUAACAGAGACAUAGAGAUUCUGCGAGGUCUAACUCACAUAUACUUGUAUUCCAAGGAUACAAGUGGAGGACAGAAAUGAGGCAGAAGUGAUAAGUUGAAGAGCACGGCCAAGAAUUUUCCAAAACAGUGGAGAAACCUGGCAGACAUCAUCUUAGCCAAGUGGUAAACAUUAACAUCAGCAGUAAUGGGACAAGUUGACAUUGUGUGACUCCUAAUAUGGUACACUGAGAAGAAUGUCGCAUCGUUUCUGUGGUAUUCCUGCCAGAGAUGCAUAAAUCAUGAGGACACAGCAGACAAAUCCAAACUGAAGACAACCUACAAAGUCAUUGACCUGUAUUUUUCAAAAAUCUUGGCCAGAGAAGGGAAGCCUGAAGAAUUGUUCUAGAAUAAAUUAGACUGAAGAGACUCCUUGAAGGCGACUGAAUUGGAUGCUGGGCCUGUAAAGUCUCAUCUCCUGCCAAUGAAUAGUGCAAAGUUCCAGAGAAGCCUGGAGGGAUGGAAUUCUGAGCACAGAAGGAACAUCUUUCAGCAGUGAGAAGGAAAGGAGGAUUAGGCAGCUAUAACAUUAGGUGAUCUGCUGAGAGCGAGGAGCUAGAAGGGAAGCUUGAAGUCUGAGGACAGUGCAACUAAACAUCAAAAUGCACUGGAAUUGUCUAACGGCAUUGAGGUUGGUGACUGAAUUUAUAGUGUUACUUACACCCCCAGUAGUUCUUAAAAAAUGCUUCCUGGCCUGGCUGUAAGCAUAAAGGAGAGGCAUAGUUAGGUUCACCUAGAGUUUGGAGGGUUUGUUUUGUUUUGUUUCUUGAAACAGAGUCAGGCUGGGCACGGUUGCUCAUGCCUGUAAUCCCAGCAC